rnacentral:tRNA from 1 species
UCCCGUGUGGCUCAGUUGGUAGAGCAUGGUGCUUGUAACACCAGGGUUGUGAGUUUGAUUCCCACAGGGGAC